rnacentral:rRNA from 1 species
UGGACCUACGGGAGGCAGCAGUGAGGAAUAUUGGUCAAUGGGCUAAGGCCUGAACCAGCCAAGUCGCGUGAGGGAAGACGGUCCUAUGGAUUGUAAACCUCUUUUGUCGGGGAGCAACGAGGUCACGUGUGACUCAUUGAGAGUACCCGAAGAAAAAGCAUCGGCUAACUCCGUGCCAGCAGCCGCGGUAAUACGGAGGAUGCGAGCGUUAUCCGGAUUUAUUGGGUUUAAAGGGUGCGCAGGCGGAGGUGCAAGUCAGCGGUCAAAUUGCGGGGCUCAACCCCGUACUGCCGUUGAAACUGCAU